rnacentral:rRNA from 1 species
CGCGUAGGUGGUAGUGUAAGUCUGAGGUGGAAUCCUAUGGCUUAACCAUAGAACUACCUUGGAUACUGUAUUACUUGAGUCAGUGAGGGGAGGGUAGAAUUCCUGGUGUAGCGGUGAAAUGCGUAGAUAUCAGGAGGAAGGCCUGUGGCGAAGGCGGCCCUCUGGCGCUGGACUGACACUGAGGCGCGAAAGCGUGGGGAGCAAACAGGAUUAGAUACCCUGGUAGUCCACGCCCUAAACGGUGGGCACUAGGUGUAGGGCUCGUAAGGGUUCUGUGCCGAAGGGAAACCAUUAAGUGCCCCGCCUGGGGAGUACGGCCGCAAGGUUGAA